CGGACCGGCGCACGGGUGAGUAACACGUAUGCAACCUGCCCGUCUCAGGGGGAUAAUCGUCGGAAACGGCGUCUAAUACCCCGUAUGAAGCUGGACGGCAUCGUCUGGUUUUGAAAGAAUAUCGGAGACGGAUGGGCAUGCGGCGCAUUAGCUAGUUGGCGGGGUAACGGCCCACCAAGGCGACGAUGCGUAGGGGUUCUGAGAGGAAGGUCCCCCACACUGGUACUGAGACACGGACCAGACUCCUACGGAAGGCAGCAG
rnacentral:rRNA from 1 species